ensembl:lncRNA
AUCUGUAAACAUGGUUUUGUGUUAUAUUUUAUCUUCUUCAUCAUUUUCACCAACACAUUUUCAAAGUUCAAACAAUUUCACCAGCGCAUUUGCAGAGUUUAAAAUCUGGCACUGUUCUAACAGUGUAUUUCAUUGUUUCCCGGUUUUGAAACCUUGUAAAUGGGAUUCUGUAAACAGGUGUUCAUACAUUGAGAAAUACGUUUUGAAAGGUUGUAUAUUUAGUUUUAAAAACUUGUAAAGGUGUACGUUUACGCCAUUGCAACGUAUUUUUUCAGAACUGACUUUUCAGCAUUGACUUUUCAGAGAUUUGACCACACAGACGCAAGCUUUGAGUCACGUGAAUAUUGGCAGUGUUCUGUCGCGCAUAUGUUUUGAAACUCCUGACAGUCAAGUUUGAAGAAAAAAAAAAACGUUCCUGGGGGCGGGACCAUUUAGCUUUAAACCUAUUGGUUGCUCUCGGCUGACGUACAUGACCAAAUGACCAUAAAUGGUCAUUUGCAUUGACCAUUUAUGGUUAAAAAGGGGCGUGUACAGGGCGGAACCUGAAGCUGAUUCAGCUGCGCACACUUGUAGGCAAUCUGUGAUUUAUAAAGCAAAGAUUGCGUACGGUGUGCGUACCCGAAGGGCGAAGGAAGCGCGCGUACACAAAAAGCUCGCCCACGAGCUGCUGUGCUCGUACCAUAGAGGCACUUUGGAGAGAGGUUCAAAACUGACUUUUUUUUUUAGCGAGUUUUAUCUGAAGAUGUUGUAUUGUAGAUUUCUAUCAAUAAAAAAUAUUAUUUUUGUGAGAGACUUUUCAUUUUGAAUGUUAUGGACUUUUGGAAGGAAGUGUGCUCAUUCAUAAUACUGUCAGAUAAUGUUCCCCCUCUGUACCAUAGGAAAGGAGGCUCACACAUCUUUCAAAUUCAUACUGCUAACUUCUUUCCCCACAACAGAUAAGUGCUGUGAUUUUCAGGACUUAUCUGUUGUACGAGAGAGAGAGAGAGAGAGAGAGAGAGAGAGAGAGAGAGAGAGAGAGAGAGAGAGAGAGAGAGAGAGAGAGAGAGAGAGAGAGAGAGAGACAGAGAGACAGAGAGAGAGAGAGAGAGAGAGAUUCUCCGCGCCUCCUUUACGUUUCUUCUCCAUUUUUCUGUCAGUUAGUGACGUGACUGAUUGACUGAUUGACAGCCGAGGCCCAAGGGGCAGGACCUCGGCCCUCUGCUGUGCGUGUGAUAGGGCCAGGGCCAGCCUAGAACCAAUCAUAUGCUGUAACACGGGGAAUUGAUUAGCCUAGCGAUUAUGGUACUUGCACUUGGUUCUAUGAACAUCCUUACUGUACCGACAGUGAUAUAUUGUUGCACUUCUUAUGACAAAUGUACUUAUUGCAAGUCGCUUUGGAUAAAAGCGUCUGCUAAAUGCCCUAAAUGUAAAAGUAAAACUAUCACAUUAAUCGCAUUAACUAAUAUUCCUAAUUAACUUACAUAACCCUUACCCUACCCCUAUUAAAUAAUGUAUGAAUGAAUAGCUGAAUCAACAUGAACACCAUAAGUAAAGAUUUACAGAUUAUUACAGAUUUACUAUACCAUUAGUUAACGGUUAAUUAACCUUUAGUUAAAUGUUAGUUUAUACUAUACUAAUGUUAAUGAACGGCUAAUUAAUGUAACCUUAUUGUUAAAGCUUAAAAAGCUUCAAACCUACAAACUAUGUGAUAUAUGAUACAUCCAAUAUGCAUGCCUUUUUUUGGAAACAUUGUACAUAUAAUACACAAUAUCAAAGUUUUAUCAACAAAUGAUACAACAUGAAUCACAUCAUUUCAGGCAAAUUCAACACGCGGUCAAAAAAAAGUUGAAUAAUACAAUCCUAUAAUACACACCUAUACAUAAUACGGCUCACCGUUGUAGAAAAAACACAUAAAUCACAGUUUCCUUCAGGUGACAUGGACUUUGAAUAGCUAGCUUGAAGCCUUUCCCUUUUAAAGUAUGUUUGAAAUCAAUGCAUCAUCCCAUGAAAAUACCAAUCUUUGUUUUUGCUAGCUUAGAAUGAGCUCUUUAAAUCUCCAUACGGCAGCGGGAUAGGGACCUCGGCCACAGAGCCCGCUAUGUGGCACAGCUGUGUUGUGAAGUAGUCCUGAACAAUGAACAAUUAAAUCGACCAAGGAACCUCAUUACUUGACACGCCAUAAAUUACAACAUUCUGGAGGUACCUAAUGGCACCUUUCAGGCCAAGGUAGCUUAUCUACUGCGUGGUUGGAAAGGGAGAGGGAGGGGUAUUCAGUUGGUUGCAAUCUGCAAACUCGUCACUAGGUGGCAAUAAAUCCUAAACACGACACCUUUAAAAAAAAUGCAUUUCUUUUGUGAUGAAAGGAGAACAUUGUCUAGUUGAAAUAUAGGGGAUCUAAAAUAACUGAAAAGACCCAUUCCAGUCUCCUUUCAUGGGCCGCUAAAUUUGCGGCCCGGAAUGCAAACCCCGCUGAGUGAACCUCAGGGCGGGGUUUCGGAUGGAUCUUUUUUUGGUAAUACAUUUUGCUUUGGCUAAUAUACAACUCUACAGCAGUCAGAAUGGCACUUUACUUUGGAGUGGAAAGCUGUGUAAAAGACUGGCGGCUAUCAGCGGAAAUGUCCAUAUAGACAAAUACCACAUCCAUAUAAUACAACAAAUUGUAAAAAAAACAAACACAGCGUAAGGCCCUCGCGUCCCCCCGGUCCUGAGUGGUUCCCCCCAGAAGUUCUGUCAAGGCCUCGACUCUUCAUCCGGAAUCUCCUGGGUGGCGGGGGGGGGGGGCGAUUGUAUUUCAAACAACCAAUAGAAUAAAGAUAGCUGUAUACAUCAAGCAUGAAAUUAAUAAAUAGAUAUGUGAAAA